UGAGAGAACUCUGGUUAAGGAACUCUGCAAAUUGAUACCGUAACUUCGGAAGAAGGUAUGCCUUUUUUGGUCACUGGACUUGCUCCAGGAAGCUGAAGAAGGCCGCAGGUAAUCGGGGGCUGCGACUGUUUACCAAAAACACAGGACUCUGCGAACACGUAAGUGGAUGUAUAGGGUCCGACGCCUGCCCGGUGCUGGAAGGUUAAUUGAUGGGGUCAGCCGCAAGGCGAAGCUCUUGAUCGAAGCCCCAGUAAACGGCGGCCGUAACAAUAACGGUCCUAAGGUAGCGAAAUUCCUUGUCGGGUAAGUUCCGACCUGCACGAAUGGCGUAACGCUGGCCCCACUGUCUCGACCAGAGACUCAGUGAAGUUGAAAUCGCUGUGAAGAUGCGGCGUAGCUGCGGAAAGACGGAAAGACCCCGUGAACCUUUACUACAGCUUUACACUGAACUUUGAAUUUAUUUGUGUAGGAUAGGUGGGAGCCUUUGAAGCAGGGGCGCUAGCUCUUGUGGAGGCAACCUUGAAAUACCACCCUGAUAACUUCGGAGUUCUAACCUGGAUCCGUAAUCCGGAUUGGGAACACUGUAUGGUGGGUAGUUUGACUGGGGCGGUCUCCUCCCAAAGAGUAACGGAGGAGUGCAAAGGUACCCUCAGCGCGGUCGGUCAUCGCGCUUUUGAGUGCAAUGGCAUAAGGGUGCUUGACUGCGAGACGUACAUGUCAAGCAGGAACGAAAGUUGGUCAUAGUGAUCCGGUGGUUCUGUAUGGAAGGGCCAUCGCUCAACGGAUAAAAGGUACUCCGGGGAUAACAGGCUUAUUCCUCCCAAGAGUCCACAUCGACGGAGGAGUUUGGCACCUCGAUGUCGGCUCAUCACAUCCUGGGGCUGUAGCAGGUCCCAAGGGUUCGGCUGUUCGCCGAUUAAAGUGGUACGCGAGCUGGGUUCAAAACGUCGUGAGACAGUUUGGUCCCUAUCUUCCGUAGCCGUUGGAGAUUUGAGGGUGAGUUGCUCCUAGUACGAGAGGACCGGAGUGAAUGUAUCUCUGGUGUUCCGGUUGUCACGCCAGUGGCACUGCCGGGUAGCUAUAUACAGACGGGAUAACCGCUGAAAGCAUCUAAGCGGGAAGCCCCCCCCAAGACGAGAUCUCCCUGAGGACUUGAUCCUCCUAAAGGGCCCAAGAAGACUACUUGGUUGAUAGGCUGGGUGUGUACGCGUAGCAAUACGCUUAGCUAACCAGUACUAAUUGCCCGUGAGGCUUGAUC
rnacentral:rRNA from 1 species